UCAAGCAAUCUCGGGCUUGGUUAGUACUUGGAGGGGUGACCGCUUGGGAAUACCAAGUGGGAUAAGCA
rnacentral:rRNA from 1 species